rfam:Glycine soja cultivar W05 scaffold267_23, whole genome shotgun sequence.
GUUGAGAGGAAUGUUGUCUGGCUCGAGGUCAUGAAGAUAUACAUAUGAAAGUGUUAACUUUUCAGUUAAUUUCUAGGAUAAAUUAAUGGAAAUUAAUUUAUACCCUAAAUGAUUCUCGGACCAGGCUUCAUUCCCCCCAGC